AUUCAGGUUGAGGUUCAAUGCUGCUAUCAAUUUGGAGAAAUGACAUAGAGGCCUUCAAAAGAGGGGCCUAGCGGGCUUAGAGGCCUUCAAAAGGGGGACCUAGCGGGCUUAGUGUGGGGCAUGUAUUUUAUAUUUUAUAUUAUGGUCAGUGUCUUGUGUAACAGAAACAGUGCUGUUGCAGUAGCAAUGCGACUGUUGUGGCCUAUCACUGUACUUAAAAAAAUAAUGAAUAUAUAUUCAAGGAGUUGGCUAAAAUUUAACAAAUGCAACUAUCUGAUGAGCAUUGUACAUCAAAUAAACACUUGAAUCCAUGAUUUAUCCUUUAUGUACUUAUCAACUUCAAUAACUAGAGCAAAUGAAAAAUAAUGGCCCCUUCGUUUCCAGUUGAUGGUUUUUACAUCUGCCAUCUAAAACCAUGUUGUGGAGCGAGAAGCAACAGUUGCCGCAAAAGUGAAUUAAAUAGAAGAUAGAGAGGUUGCCAUAAACAUCUAUGUGGUGAUACAGAUGAAGGGUGAGGUUAUGGA
rnacentral:misc_RNA from 1 species